rnacentral:rRNA from 1 species
CAUUCACGGAGAGUUUGAUCCUGGCUCAGGACGAACGCUGGCGGCGUGCUUAACACAUGCAAGUCGAACGAUGAAGCCCUUUGGGGUGGAUUAGUGGCGAACGGGUGAGUAACACGUGGGCAAUCUGCCCUUCACUCUGGGACAAGCCCUGGAAACGGGGUCUAAUACCGGAUAACACUCUGUCCCGCAUGGGACGGGGUUAAAAGCUCCGGCGGUGAAGGAUGAGCCCGCGGCCUAUCAGCUUGUUGGUGGGGUAAUGGCCUACCAAGGCGACGACGGGUAGCCGGCCUGAGAGGGCGACCGGCCACACUGGGACUGAGACACGGCCCAGACUCCUACGGGAGGCAGCAGUGGGGAAUAUUGCAC